rnacentral:rRNA from 1 species
UACGGAGGGGACUAGCGUUGUUCGGAAUUACUGGGCGUAAAGCGCACGUAGGCGGAUUUGUAAGUCAGGGGUGAAAUCCCGGGGCUCAACCUCGGAACUGCCUUUGAUACUGCAAAUCUCGAGUCCGGAAGAGGUGAGUGGAAUUCCUAGUGUAGAGGUGAAAUUCGUAGAUAUUAGGAAGAACACCGGUGGCGAAGGCGGCUUCCUGGACCGACACUGACGCUGAGGCGCGAAAGCUAGGGGAGCAAACGGG